ACAUAAGGGCAUGUAAAGGGACGAAACUCUUGAUCUCCUUGAAGAGCUUGGCGUAAAGGUAAAUAAAAACAUGUUGUGACGUAAUGCGGAAGUGAUAUCGGUUGCUUGAAAAAUGGAUUUUUGUCAAAUUACAGUGAACAAGUUAUUGUGAGAUAGUCUGAUUACUUUGGAGCUGCCAGAUUGUGUAUGAAAUCCUAAACAAAGUAUUUCAACAACUUUUUCAUGAACCACAGAAACUUCACCUUACCAAAUUGUAGGACCAGACAUUGUGAGAAAGUUUGAUUGCAUUCACUGCCAGAGCUAAAGCUAGAAAAGAAACUAAACAACUUCUUCUCAUGAUCUGCUUAAUUGAUCUUCACAUUGAAUUGUCAACCUGUAUGCUACAUUGUAUAAUGACGUUGAGCAAAUAAAGAUACUGCAGUCAGCGUUACAACCUUCAUUAAACAGAAUGAAUUGGUGUUACAGAAAUGGAUAACAUAUGGAGACAAACACUUUCAGGCUACAGAAACUACACUAUGAGACUAUGAGAAUGGCUUAUUUCCAUGAUGGAACUCAUACCACAAAGAAAGAACUCGCUUUAUCUUGUUUCUUAUAACUAGUCCUCAAAGACAUACCCAAGUAAACUACAACAGGAAUGAAAGCAAACAAAGUUGAUUCAGGAUUUAGAAUUGAAUGUUUUUGUGUCAACAGUGU